AUUGAACGCUGGCGGCAGGCCUAACACAUGCAAGUCGAGCGGAUGAAGGGAGCUUGCUCCUGGAUUCAGCGGCGGACGGGUGAGUAAUGCCUAGGAAUCUGCCUGGUAGUGGGGGAUAACGUCCGGAAACGGGCGCUAAUACCGCAUACGUCCUGAGGGAGAAAGUGGGGGAUCUUCGGACCUCACGCUAUCAGAUGAGCCUAGGUCGGAUUAGCUAGUUGGUGGGGUAAAGGCCUACCAAGGCGACGAUCCGUAACUGGUCUGAGAGGAUGAUCAGUCACACUGGAACUGGGACACGGUCCCGACUCCUACGGGAGGCAGCAGUGGGGAAUAUUGGACAAUGGGCGAAAGCCUGAUCCAGCCAUGCCGCGUGUGUGAAGAAGGUCUUCGGAUUGUAAAGCACUUUAAGUUGGGAGGAAGGGCAGUAAGUUAAUACCUUGCUGUUUUGACGUUACCAACAGAAUAAGCACCGGCUAACUUCGUG
rnacentral:rRNA from 1 species